UAAGGAUAAACAGUUCCAUAUUCUGCAAAGGGAAGUUGGAAGGCCUGGAUUUGCCUUUGCGAGAGUUAAAAAAGGCAAAAUCGAAGAAGAACCAACAACCGAACCAGAGCCUUCCUUGGAAUCUCAAUCAGCUACCAGCGUUUUUAUUAUUGUUGGAGGAGAUGAGAAACCCGCCACUAGUAGAGCGUUUUCCGAGCGAAGUAAAUAAAAAAUCAUGACUCCUAUACUAGCUGCUACCCUAGACCGUAUUGGACUAAGCGACCGAAAUGCAAUGUAUGUUAUUUGUGCGGUUUUAACAAGUGCUGGACUAAACUUAGACGAUUUUACCGUUAGCAGACAAACAAUCUCAAGGGCCCGUGCAGAAUAUCGCGCUUCAAGAGUUGCAAAUCAUCUAUGGUACUUGAGUGAAGAACUAGUCGCUCUGGCUUUUUUCGACCCAGAAAUAUCUACUGAUGAGAGAAAAGAAAUGGCACACAAUUUAAAAUCUUGUAAGGGUGAUGAAGUAAGAAAAAUAAAAUUGAAAGUAUCUACGAUCGAUAAGUUGACUUCUUGUACGCUUUCGGAUUUCGUUUCUCAAAAUACGAUGAAUUUUUUUGAAAUUUCUGGAAUAUCUGCAAAUUUUCUCAAAGAAGAUCCUAGUAUAUGGGAUGAUUGGAAGAAUUUGGUGAAAGUAGAAAUAAAAUUAAUUCAUUUUUGGUAGUGAAUGACUGGCUGAAAGAGGAGUUAAACUAGUUCAAGAUUUUUGUGGAAAACUGCCAAAAAAUGAAGAACAGCUUCUAUAUCUUCUCAAAGUUGUU